CCCCCCCCCCCCCCCCCCCGGUUCAUACAUCUGCGUCCUGUCACUUGAGCACUCCCUCCUGCCUCUGCUCACCUUCUGGGCCUCAGUGGAGAGGCCGCCAGGGAAAAUCCAUUUAAAGAAGCCACGGCCAUCUCUGCAGCGUAACCCAGUGAUUCUGUAAUAAAUCACGUUCUGGAGCCAGGAGCCACUUAGGAACCUGAGCCGUGAAUCCUGCCUGCCUGGGGCUGGCACUUUGGAUCUACUCAAGCUGAGCCACUGCUUUGUGCUGUGAUUCCUGCCGGUGGCACUUGUGCGAUGGCGGAUGGUAGACUCUGGCGUGUCCCUUGCCUCGACCAGAGACCCCUCCCUUGGAAGAGACCCCGUGUUCCACUGCUGUCUCCACUGAUGUGACCAGGGCCCGGCCCAGGGACAGGACUGGGGGGACCAAACGGGGUCAGGCAGGAACCUGGCCCUCAGGGAACUGGCUCGGGCAAGCUCACGUGCCAGGAACGCCCCCGUGAGUGACCCAAGGCCUCUGGAGACCAGCCAGAUGGGGCAGCCUGGCCCCUGCGGCAGAAGACAAUCUGUCGGACGGGCUGUCAGCAAGCAGCAACGACGUCCUUCUUGGGGACGCCUGGCCGAGCUUCGCAGAGCGGGAGCCCUGAACACAGCGAGGAGAAGCUCCUGGAGAAUGUCGCCUUCUCUGUCCCUGUCCGUGUCUGCGUGGACUUGCCACCUGCUUCCUUCCCUAGAGCUCCGGGUCAGAGCAAACAAAGACUUGGAGUCAGACAGAACCGGGUUCCAAUCCCAGCUCACUCGCUGUGCAUCCUUGGGCACGAUGCUGGCCUUCUCUGAAUAUCAGUUUCUCACCUGUAACACAGGAAUUGUAAUUGCCUGGCAUUGCUGCUGAGAUCAUUCAAGCCACACGUGGAAAGGCAAGGCUGAGUCUUUCUUCAUCUUCUCCCACCACUCUAAUGAAGCCACGAGGCAGGAGGGACCAUGGGAACCGGACUCAGCAAGAAGGGACUUUGCAAUCAGACUCAGCAUCUCUGAAGAAAGGCCCCUCUGAAAGAAGACAGCACAGAGGCAAGCACGGCAACCUGGAAAAUAUUUACAUCCUUCGCAACCAGCCAGUGGAGCCCAGGUGGUCCCGUUAUUUGUCACCCCCUCGGGGAGCUGAGCUACAAGGCAAGCGACAGCUUCCCAUUUCAAGUCACCCUUGGGAACGUCUCUCCUCUGUAUCAUACCAACCAGGGGACCAACGUGAUGGCUGUUGGCUGUCAGAGGCCCAUGUGUAUGGGCACGGACGGGGUGGUAGAGGGAGCUGGCACGCUGGAGUCCCCAAGGUCCUGGCUGGCUUGGCCCCUCCUCAGCUGUGUCCCUGCACAGCCUUGUCACCUCCUUGGAAUUUCUGCUUCUUGGUCUGUUGGAGAGUCCCAGUGCCUGCCUACUUGACAGUUUCAUUCCAAUGACUGAAUGAGCUGCAAAAGGCGCCCUGAACACGAAGAUGCUUCUUCCCCUGUGCCUGGGAUCAUUGGCGCUGGGUAAACGCGACCCUGCCCCUCUCCCGUGCGUGCUGAUGUCUGCUGGGCAGGGCUCUCUGCCACAAGCAUGCCUUCCUGUUCUGCCCAAGAUGGGUGAUGCGGGACCUGGCACAAUCAUGGCUUAAAAGAAAUCUGAGCAGUCACCUCGCUAUUAUCGAGCUCCCUGUGGGCCAGCCUGUGACAAAAAAUGGGGUGUGUGAGCACGCUCCUGGGAGGAGGGGCCGUGGAGUUCACUGGCCUCUCUGGUGAGACUGGGAGCCCACCAAGGCUCAAGCACCCCACGUCUGGAAGGAAAGGACUCUGUUAAGGAACCCAGAGACCCAGCUCUGCCUCUCACUGGCCGGUGACUUUGAGGCCACCCCUUGGCUUUCCCGGGCCUCUGUGCCUCAUCUGUAAAAUGGGUGUAACUGCCUGCCAUCCGGUGUCCCCAUCAGCUCGGACCCCUGACGAGCCCCUCCCUCGUCAUGUCCUCCAGCAGAGGAGGCGCUUUCUGCGGCCACUAACGUGGCCUGGGUUCUUGUUGCAGGACGGGCUCUGGCCGCCUGGGAAGGUCCCGAAGCCAGCCUCCUUCUUGCUUCCACAGUAAGAGGACAUUUCUUCUUUGCGAAACAUAAGUCACUCCGGGCAGCUGUGUCCACGGAUUGCCGCCCCCGCCCCCCGCCAAUGACCAAAGCACCCCAAGCUGCCUGAAGUACCACAGCCCCGUAUCCACGGCUUUUGCCCAGCAGUUAAAGAGCCUCUGCUCAGACUGAGAGGGUGUGCACCUUUUGAAAAGAACUCCUCGUAAACGCUCUUGCUCGGGCAGCCAAGGGGACGAUGGCAGGACGGUGGCUGGUGGGUGGGGUCCGAUCUCAGAGAGUUUCCCGUCUCCUGUGGUCACUCAGGCAGCCCUCAGGCCAGACUGGGCUCACAAACACAUCUCGUUUAGCCGAUUUUUUUUUUUUAAUUGUGGUUAAAAUACGCAUAGGAGGAAACAGGCCAUCUAAUCGUUUUUAAAUGCCCGGUUCCCUGGCAUUGAGUAUCUUCACAUCGUUAUGUAACCAUCACCACCCCAUCAUCUCCAGCGCUUUUCCUUCUUCCCAGACUGAAACCCUGGCCCCGUGUUCCCACUAGCCCCCUAGAUCCCUCCGCCAGCCCCUAGCACCUCCCUCAGCAGCACCAGGUGGGUGACAAAGGGGAGGUGCCUGGUUGAUCACAGGCCCUCAAAAGAGUUUAUUUCACUUAAUUCUUUUCCCAGGCAGAAGUCUCUCCGAGGUUAAAAGGGUGGCAUGUUUUCCAAACCUUUUGGAGAAAAAAAAAAAAAAAA